CCUACGGGAGGCAGCAGUAAGGAAUCUUCCACAAUGGACGAAAGUCUGAUGGAGCAACGCCGCGUGCAGGAUGAAGGCUUUCGGGUCGUAAACUGCUUUUAUAUGGGAAGAUUAUGACGGUACCAUAUGAAUAGGGACCGGCUAACUACGUGCCAGCAGCCGCGGUAAUACGUAGGGUCCAAGCGAUAUCCGGAAUUACUGGGCGUAAAGCGUGUGUAGGUGGAUUAAUAAGUGUGAUGCGAAAUCCGGCGGCUCAACCGUUUGGACUGUGUCGCAUACUGUUAGUCUAGAGGACGGCAGAGGUAAGUGGAAUUACGGGUGUAGCAGUGAAAUGCGUAGAUAUCCGUAGGAACACCAAUGGCGAAGGCAGCUUACUGGGCCACACCUGACACUGAGACACGAAAGCGUGGGGAGCGAACAGGAUUAGAUACCCUGGUAGUCCACGCCGUAAACGAUGCAUACUAUUAGUAUGGGGUAUCGACCCCCUGUGCUGAGAAGCUAACGCGAUAAGUAUGCCGCCUGGGGAGUACGAGCGCAAGCUUAAAACUCAAGGGAAUUGACGGCGUGAGAGNGCGAGACGACGACGAGGGAGAGG
rnacentral:rRNA from 1 species